GUCGACGCCUUGGAGAUGGAAACGAUUUAAACAUGUGUGAGGAAAGUUCAAGAGGGGAAAAAAUAAAAGACUAGUGACAUAAUUUAAGAAAAGGAUGAUUGCAAUGCAUCCUGAAGCUGCCUAUCUCCAAAUAUUCUCUCCUAUAGGCAGGGCCAACAGGAAAAGAGUUCUCCUGCUGCACUUUUGGAUUUUCCUCUUGAGCAAUGCUUAUGCAACUACAGCCGAGAAUUACUGCCAUGAAGCCAGUCAUCAAUGUUAUGGAAGCUUCCCUCAACAUUUGAGGAGUAGUACUUCCCCUGCAUUAUAAACUUACACAAUAAAAACUUACAAAAGUAAGUUAAGAAA
rnacentral:lncRNA from 1 species